GGGGAAGUGGCGAAACCGGAAGACGCAUCGGACUUAAAAUCCGAAGGGCGCAAGCCCGUGGGGGUUCGAGUCCCCCCUUCCCCACCA
rnacentral:tRNA from 1 species